rnacentral:tRNA from 1 species
GGAUGGUUGCAGAGUUUGGUUUAAUGUACUGGUCUUGAAAACCAGCGAGGGGUAACCCUCCGUGAGUUCUAAUCUCACACCAUCCGCCA